ensembl:snRNA U6 U6 spliceosomal RNA
AGGCUCUCUUCGGCACCACUUAUGCUAGAUCUCUAAAGAUACCUAAAAGAUUAGCACAGUUCCUGCAAGGAUGACAUGCAGAUUCAUAACAUGUUCCAUAUUUUC